UGGGGAAUUUUGGACAAUGGGCGAAAGCCUGAUCCAGCAAUGCCGCGUGUGUGAAGAAGGCCUUCGGGUUGUAAAGCACUUUUGUCCGGAAAGAAAUCCUUGGCUCUAAUACAGUCGGGGGAUGACGGUACCGGAAGAAUAAGCACCGGCUAACUACGUGCCAGCAGCCGCGGUAAUACGUAGGGUGCAAGCGUUAAUCGGAAUUACUGGGCGUAAAGCGUGCGCAGGCGGUUUGCUAAGACCGAUGUGAAAUCCCCGGGCUCAACCUGGGAACUGCAUUGGUGACUGGCAGGCUAGAGUAUGGCAGAGGGGGUAGAAUUCCACGUGUAGCAGUGAAUGCGUAGAGAUGUGGAGGAAUACCGAUGGCGAAGGCAGCCCCCUGGGCCAAUACUGACGCUCAUGCACGAAAGCGUGGGGAGCAAACAGGAUUAGAUACCCUGGUAGUCCACGCCCUAAACGAUGUCAACUAGUUGUGGGGAUUCAUUUCCUUAGUAACGUAGCUAACGCGUGAAGUUGACCGCCUGGGGAGUACGGUCGCAAGAUUAAAACUCAAAUGAAUUGAC
rnacentral:rRNA from 1 species